rnacentral:rRNA from 1 species
GGUGAACGCUGGCGGCGUGCUUAACACAUGCAAGUCGAACGGUGAAAGAGGAGCUUGCUCCUCUGGAUCAGUGGCGAACGGGUGAGUAACACGUGAGUAACCUGCCCUUGACUCUGGGACAAGCCCUGGAAACGGGGUCUAAUACCGGAUAACACUGUCACGGGCAUCUGUGGUGGUUAAAAGCUCCGGCGGUGAAGGAUGAGCCCGCGGCCUAUCAGCUUGUUGGUGAGGUAAUGGCUCACCAAGGCGACGACGGGUAGCCGGCCUGAGAGGGCGACCGGCCACACUGGGACUGAGACACGGCCCAGACUCCUACGGGAGGCAGCAGUGGGGAAUAUUGCACAAUGGGCGAAAGCCUGAUGCAGCGACGCCGCGUGAGGGAUGACGGCCUGG